GCAGGGAAGAGCAUGCGGUCAUGGCUACUGCUCCUCGAUUUAAGUUGAUUUGAAGGCACUUUCGUUUUAUUCCAUGGACAACAGUAAAUCUUGAAAACCAUUCUUGCCUUUGUUGUCUUUGGAGGGCGUUAUCUGACUGCAUAUUCAAGCAAGGCGUUUGAAAUAAAGGGCAGAACACCGUCUUAGAAUGAUAAGCUUCUGUCUUCAUAGUAUCUGAAUAGUUUUGAGCUUUAAAAGUUUUUGCAUUCCAUUUUAACUUUGUAGAUCAUAUAAAAAACUAAGAGGUACACAACUUUAAAAAAAACAUCACAUGAUGUAAAUAAGUUGUCACAGUUAUUCUUAAUAAUUUGCCUCAAAAUCAGAUAUGGACUGGCAGUGUGAACAAGGUCCUAAUAUGUGGAAAAACAAAUUUUUGACAAACAUGUCAAAUAGAAACUUAUAAUUCCAAGCCAGUGGAAUCCUCUCUUCUGUCACUCCUCUUAUAAUGAACAGAUGGAAACACGUUUACAUUGAGUUGAACUCACGCAUUGUCCAGAACGAUCUUGGGAGUCCAGAUUUUAUCAACAGGUAACACAACAGUUGGAAAUCUAUAUUUAUCAUGCAGCCAUCCAAGAUCAGAAUCUUUCCAUUGCUAUGGGGAGAAAGGAAAUAUGAUUAACCUAACAAAUCUUUAGUCAAAACUACUGAUUUCUUCUAUUACAGGUUUUUUUUUUCGAUUGCUAAACGACAGUGGGCACAACUGGAGUCACAUGUGCAAAACUCUAACUACAGUCUGCACAGCAGCAGUUCAUGUGGACCAAACUCUAGUUCGUUUUUCAUUGCUUGAACACAGUUUUCAAAACUCUACACACUUAUCCCAUGACUUUAAACACAACCUGCACAACACUGUGGAUUUACAGCACUUUGUAAAUCCACACAUUCAAAACAGAAAAGAUUUCAGCAUUGUGCCUUUCAAACACUGCUGAUUGCAAUUUCAUAUAAAUAUAAAUUCCAAUUUCAUAUAUAUUUCAUAAUAUUCCCUUUAUAUAUAUAUAGGUAGAGCUCAGAAAGACUAAUUUUGGAAAUGGAACAAGGAAGACAGGUUCGUGGAGGGAGAAGGGUGGCAUGUAGUGGCCUGAUGCUAGAGAGAAGCAGGAUUAGCCCCUCAAUUAUUUGUUUGAAUUACAGUAUGUACUUUUAGUUUCUACCUUUUUUUCUCAUUACUGUAAUUCCGUAAAUUACUCCAGACUACUGAAGCAAACUGCUAAUUUUCAUUUACCUUAAAGAAUUAUGAUGUUCUAAAAAAAUAAUAAAUCAUGUGAUAAAUCAAUAUAUAGAUAAAUCAUUCUUUGAAGAAAACAUUACUUUGUAUGAAUUCACUGAAAUUGUUAAAACAGUAAAGAUAAAAAGUUUGUAUUUUGUGUAUUGGUGUUUGAUGUUAGUGUUUUCCUCUCAGUGUGUUGUGAGUGACAGUGUGUGUUAUCUCAGUAAGGGUUGUGUUUAGUGUUUGGCUGCACUGAGCUGUUUUGAGUCAUGUGUUAAGAGUUGUGUUCAGGUGACUUUGGUAUUGCAGACUGUAGUUAGAGUUUUGCACAUGUAGCUCCAGUUGUGCUCACUGUCGUUUAGCAAUCGAAAAAAAACUGUAAUACCUUGUUCACACUGUCAGUCCAAAUCCGAUUCUGAUUCAUAUCCAAAUGGAAUCCAUACACAUUUAUAAAGUGUUAACGGCCAAAACUGCAUGAAAUCCAUUUUUUUCCAAUCCGUUUCAGGCUAGAUGGUGGUUUGAAAUCUGUUUCAAAUCGCAUUUCUGGAAAUCCAAUUCAGUCUGACCGCUCUAAUCGCAUUUGUGUAGGUUUUUGGUUACUGUACGUCAUGCCGUCAUGUCACGUAAACGCAAUUCAUAUUUUGGUUACAUCAUGGCUCUUCACAUGUUAUAAAUGUGAUUGGAUUCCAAUCGGAUAUGCCUCAAAAUCAGAUAUGGACUGACAGUGUGAACAAGGUCUUAAAGGCGGAGUCCAUGAUGUUUGAAAGCCAAUGUUGAUAUUUGAAAUCACCUAAACAAACACGCCCCUACCCCAAUAGAAUCUGGACCUUCUGUUGAUAGACCCGCCCCACACAUACGCAACCCGGCAUUUGAUUUGAUUUGAUUGGCUAUAAGUGUGUUUUGGUAGUCGGCCCGUCUCCUUUUCCAACGCGUUUUUCAAACAUCGUGGACUCCGCCUUUAAGUCUUUCAUCAAGUUCAUCACAUUCAGUCUUUUCUGUUGCAGCUUUAUGGAGCUGACAGUAACUUCUGGGAACUCUUGAGAGGCUUCAUGAUCCCCCAUAGCUUUAAAAAAAAAAACUCUGUAACUAAAGAGCUCUGGGUUGAGAAAGAUUGUGUGAUUUGUUCCUGACCCUGUCAAUCAAACACAGAUUCGGCAAAACAUGGCACCUUUUGAAACGUGUCGAAGCCUUAUUUAGCCAUAGUCACGUAAUGUGGGUACUUCGAAUCACACUUGACUUCCGAGUAGUGUUUCUAUACACUUCAGGAUCUCCACACAAGAGGUAUUUCUCAAUGUCAAGGAAGGAAGCCAGAAUUUAGAGGAUGCUACAUCGUCGACAUCCGUCAAAGGACUGUUCCAAUGUUGAGGAUCCUAGGAAUUUUAACCAAGGACUGAGUCCUUCGUUUGAAAAAUAAAGGAAAGGAUGCAUAUGUGUAUCCUAGUGCUCUUUGCUUUCUGAAAUCACCCACAAUCCUAUGCGCACAGCGCUGAAAGCACACCUUUUUACUGACGUAAUGACGCAAUGACAUGCACUUGCUAGCCUGUUCCAUUUACGUGUUCUCUGAAUGCUAAAGGGCGAUUUAUAGUCGUGCGUAGGUCCUACGGCGUAGCAGCGAUGGCGUAGGUUCCGCGUCGGUUUUCAUUUAUACUUGUGCGUCGCCGUCCGCGUCGACGUGCAAACACACGCGAAACCGCUGGUUGGCAGUAAUCACGCGUGUAACCACAGUAGCAGCAGAAGUCGUCACAGAAGAAGAAGCUAAGCAAGUAAACCCACAAACGAAGAAGAAACAGCAACUUGUUGUGUAUAAUUUGAGAAGACCAGCAAUGAUGGAAGUAAAUAAACAGCGACUUAUGUUUCAGUUUGAGUUAAAUCACUCCUCAACUUGGCUCGUCUUUGUUUUCACCGUCUCAAACGGAAAUACCUAUGACACAGUUUUUUUACCUGACGGGAGGGGUUCUGGUGGACCAAUCACAGCGCUUACGGUCCGCGUAGAGCCGACGCGCUGUUAGAAAAUUUGUGAGGUGCGCGUCAGGCUACGCAGAGCUACGCACAGGCUACGGAUAGCCUACGCCGUAGCUACGCCGUAGGACCUACGCACGACUAUAAAUCGCCCUUUAAGAGGAGCCUCGCCUAGCCUCUAAUGGAAGUGACUUGUAGGACCAGUCCGGCCAAGGAAGUAUCCUUGACGUUGAAAAACACCUACAGUCAGUUUCGCAUCAGCCAUACCUAGAUUUUUCUGCCUGCUUUUCGACCAUGACUUUUUGUAAUAAAAAUUAUAUGUUGACAGUGGCA